AAAGCUGAAGGGGACGGGUCGGAGCAUCCUCCCCUCGCCCGGGGCCGUCCCAGGACAUUGAUUAAUUAUGCAAAUGAGCGGGAAAGGCACCCAGAGCCGCCCGGCAAGGCAGCAGCGGGUCUGAGAGCUCAACCUUGACCUCUGCCACCUUCCUCCUCCUCUUCCUCGCAUCUCAAACCCUCGCGGACGGGGAAAAUCGGGGGGAAAAGCAGGAAAUCAGCCCCGGGGGGGCAGCAGGAGCUGCAGCCGGGCCCGGCCGAGCCGGAGGAACUGGAGGAACUGGAGGAACUGAUCCUGCCUGGAAAAGCGCCGCCAACAAACCCUGAGCGCCGCUGCGCGUUUUGCCGAGGGCAAAGUCCUUCCCCUGCCUCGCUGAGCCACCUGUGCCAAGGGGGAAAAGCAGCAGAAUCGACGCCGAGCAGAUGUUUCUCCCUCCCACGCUGGAGACCCCCCCAGCUGGAGCUCUGCCCCCCUUUUUGUUAUUUUUUUGCGUGGGCACCAGAAGUGAAAUCCCGGCUCCAAGCAGCCCCGGCCGGCCAGACCGGAGCGCCCAGGGAGGAAGGGCUGGCAUUUUUUGGGUGAAUAAUUUUUUUUUUGGGUGAAGAAAACGCCGCAAGUUGUUCAGCUCCGAGGCUCUCCCCGGGCACGGCUCUGCCCUCCCCUUCCCUGGCACCCCCUCUUUUUUGGGGGGCGGCCGCGCAGCGUUUGGAGAGGAAUCCCAAGGAAUUCGGUUGAAAGUUGGGUUUUGUUCCGCGCCGCUUUGGGGAUGCCCCGGGGACGAGCUGGAUUUUUGUUUUUUGGGGGUGGUUUGAGGCACCCGAGUGGCCUUUAAGGCAGCAGAAAGUCCCAUUUCCCACGGAAAUACCCUUAAAAAAAACCCCAAACAAACCCAACCACCCCCACCGACCGAGCAGGGGCUUUCCCUGCCCACCCCCACAGCCCCCUCCGAGCGACAAAGGGGUCACAGAUCACCCCAAAAAGUGGCGAUUGGGGGGGGCUGACGGCGUUUGGGGGCGCUGGGGCU